rnacentral:rRNA from 1 species
UACAGAGACUGCAAGCGUUAUUCGGAUUCACUGGGCGUAAAGGGUGCGCAGGCGGCCGUGUGUGUCAGGUGUAAAAGCCCGGAGCUUAACUCCGGAAUUGCGCCUGAAACUACAUGGCUAGAGCAUUGGAGAGGGUAGCGGAAUUCACGGUGUAGCAGUGAAAUGCGUAGAUAUCGUGAGGAACACCAGAGGCGAAGGCGGCUACCUGGACAAUUGCUGACGCUCAGGCACGAAAGCGUGGGGAGCAAAAGGG